GUUAUCUUUUGUAAACACGAAAUCAUAAACAACUGACUUUAAAAACGUUUUAUUCACCUGUAUAUAUCAGAUUGACUUCCUUGUUUCGUUUCUGUAAAUGUGUAAGUUUGAGAAGGUAAAGACAAUGGAUAAAGACAUGCUGCUAAGGAUUAUCUUACCGGUUUUUGUAUACUAUAUACAAUCUGUAAAUGGUAAGUUACGACAUUUUUACUAUCAAUUCAAUACGAUAUUGUCAAAAAAUGUCUCAAUAUCUACAAUUGUUUAUGCUGUUUAUGAUAUCGAUUACAUAAUGAAAGCACCCUUUUAAAAGUAUUUUAUUGAAUUAUGUAACAUAAAUGCCCUCUAGAAUAAAGCUAUUCGGAAAGGUAUGACUAUGAUUUACGACACAAAUGCUUUAUGUUUUAACAUUAUGAAAUGAUUCUUCAUCUGUUAAUUCUUGUAUUACUGUACAAAGGAUAGACAUGAUUAUUUUGUACGCAUUUUUAUCUAAAUUAUUUUUGAAUAUUUAUAAAACGUAAAAUUAACAAAAAGUAAAUUAUAAAUCAAUGUAACUACAUACAUAUUUAUUUCCGAUUUAAAAUAAAUGUACACAUAAUAAGUAUCUAUCAUAAAUAUCAACAUAACGAAUAUUUAUUAUUUCUAUGUAUAUGUUAUCAAAUAUAUUCUUAUUAAAUCGAACGGUUAUGUCUAUUCCUUUGAUCAUUUUUUUUUUGGCCACUAGAUUACAUGCUGAUGUAUUUUUGAAUUGCUACAUCACAGCUAAGCCAAGCCGGGGCAUGAAAGCUUGUACAUAUAAACAGCUGCAUUGCAUUCAAAAUUUAACAACAAAUCAUAUUUUAUGAUAACAUAUAUAGGUAUCUACCAAAGAAAUAUAUAACUAGUAAUGCACAUGAUUUUGUAUUUAUAUAUUUAAAAUGCUACUUGUAAUUGAUGCAUUGUUUAUUACAAAAAAAGUACGCUACAUGUAUUAGUUCAUAAUUUUCGUAGCGUCAGUGUUUUAAAGGCUUACCGAAAAAGAAAUAUAAUUUGUAAACGCAUCGAAAAUGACAUACGUCAUAUAAAUACACAUAACAUUGGCACUAUAAAUAUAUCAGUUACAAAGAUAAGGAAAAUCCUUCCUACUUCCUAAAAAUAAGAUGAUUUUAAUACGCUUAUACAAAUCUUGUUCAAAGCCGAUGACAACUAACAUAUAAAACAUGCUUCCCAGACUGGUGUGCAAUAAUUCACAAACGCUUGUUUUAUAUUGAUACCUGAAUUUGUAUAUUCUAAACUUAAUAUUUCAUUUUGUUGUCAUGAUGCUUAAUUGCUACCGAUCCGUCGUGAAUUUAUUAUCUUUUGACAAAUACCAAUAAUUAUAGAAUAGAAACAGAAAAUGUGUCACCCAGACGACAACCUGAUCAAAGUGUAGAAAUCAGCCAAUGGCCAUCGAUGUGGCUUUAAUACAGAGCUAAAGUCCCACAGACAUGAAUGAUGCCGUUAGUUUACUCGUUUGAAUUAUUUUACAUUUGUAAUUUUCGGGGUCAUUUAUAGCUGAAUUUGUGGUAUGGUCUUUUCUAAUUAUUGAAGGUCGUACGGCAACCUACAGUUGUUAAUUUCUGUGUCAUUUGGUCUCUCUUGGAGAGGUGUCUCCCUGCAAAUCAUAACACAUCUUCUUUUUUCAUAUCGACUUAAGCUGUAGUGCAACUGCAAGUUCACAAUUUGUUUACGUUGGUUUCGCCUGCAGAUCUCAUUUUUACUUGCAACGUAUUUCAAUAUAAAAACGAAGAUGUGGUAUGAUUGCCAAUAAGACAACUCUUUACAAGAGACCAAUUGAAAAAAAAUAUCCAACUAUCGGUCACCGUACGGCAUACACAAAUGAACUCUGGAUUUGUGUGGUUUUUUUUUAGAUAAACACAUGACUGUGUAAAACCUUAAGAUUUACUGAUCCUUUUUAGUCGCUUUAACAUGCAUAAUUGCUGUGGAGUUAACUAUCAGACAGGGAGUGAAUUGAGGUGAAAGAAACAGUAUCUGAACAUUAUGAAACUAAAUUAAAGUGACAGACUUAAAUAUGUGUCUUAUAUACAUUUACAUAGAGGGUCUAGGAUUUGAGUAAAUUAGUUCUUUUAAGUUUGAGCCUAAGCGAAAGUUAGUCAGUUAAAAACAAUACUUUACGAGAAAAGAGAUGGCUUCAGCUUUCCAAUUGUUUCUAAUUCUAAGACGCAACAUUCCAGCAGCACCUGCAUACAGGAUAUUUAUCUCCAUGACCAAUUGAUACGAUAUUCCCGUGCUUGCAUUUCCUAUCAUGAUUUGAUUGAUAGAGGGUUGCUGCUCACAAGAAAGCUAUUAAACCAAGAGUUCCAAAUGGGGAAGUUGAAAUCAUUUCUUCGUAAAUUGUUCGGACGCCAUCACGAGUAGGUUGGCCGUUAUGGAAUAAUCGUUUCAGAAAUGUUAUCGGAUAUGUUCCGUACGUCAUAACUACAAUCCCCUUCAUGAAUGUGACCUACCGAAUAAGACAAUUUACCGGAUUUGUUAUAACAUAAGCAACACGACGGGUGCCAUAUGUAGAGCAAGAUCUGUUUACCCUUCCGGAGCACCUGAGAUCACCCCUAGUUGUUGGUGGGGUUCGUGUUGAUCAUUCUUUAGUUAUCUAUGUUGUGUUAUUUGUUCUAUUGUUUGUCUGUUUGUCUUCUUCCAUUUUUAGCCAGGCGUUGUCAGUUUAUUUUCGAUUUAUGAGUUUGAUUGUCCCUCUGGUAUCUUUCGUCCCUCUUUUAGCUUGAGUAAUAUUGUAACAUAUUUCCAUUACAUUGUAUUACGGAAUACACAUGGUAUACAGUAAUUCAGUACAACUUUGCUACAUGUAUAUAUGGUAUUAUGAUAUUGAACUUGCAUAGUUAGCAGUUAACACAUUCCGAACUGAUGGUAUCUUUGACGUAAACGUUGUCGACGGAAAGAGACCAACCUUUAUGAACAAACAGAUUCAUAAUAAUAAAAUUAAACAAACUUUAUAAGAGCGUAAGCUUAGUUUAAGUUUCAAGUAUUAAUCAGUAUUUUUAGUCUUAAUGAAAGCUGAAUUUUGAUAUAAAAAUAAUAUAUUUCGUCUGUGCUGUCAGUUUGACCCAAAUUUGUCACGAAAGGAUGAAAAUAAUGCUGGUUUAUUCAGUCUCUUUGAAUCUGUAUUCGUGUGACCUUCUAUGUAUCUCCUUAAUCGAGCUUGUUUAAGCUGGGAUACGCAUGUACUAAGUGUGUUCAGUCACAAGGGAAAUGCAGUCUUAUGGUGUGAUCUUGAUUGUUUUAUUAAUGGCCUCAAGACUAAAUUACAUUCGAAAUACUGGUACAUAUUAUCGAGUCAAUGUAUUGUUGAUUGUUAAUUGUUUAAACGUUUUGUAAUUUGGAUAUAAGAUUAAGUGUGCUACUAAUCAAAUCGUUAAAAAUAAAUCUAAUAGAGUAUGCCCCUUUAUAGUCUUAUGACAUAUAAGAAUACAGUGAUUUUUUUUUUAUUUAAGCAUAUAGCUUUCAAUCUGAUCAAGCAUAUCACACAGACAACAAAACCUGGAAAGCUGCUUCUGACAUAUGUGGCGAAAAUGGAUUAGAGUUUGACGAAAAGGUGUUGAGGAAUAUUUCAGUGCUGCAAGAUAAAGAAUUCUGGAUUGGAAUGGCUAUUUACAGUAUAGCUACACCAUGGAUUGAAAGUAUUGGUACGUAAAAAGUUAAAUCACAAAAAUACUGAACUCCGAGAUAAAUUCAAAACGAAAGUCCCUAAUCAAAUGGCAAAAUCAAAAGCUCAAACACAUCAAACGAAAGGAUAACAACUGUCUUAGCCCUGACUUGGUACAGUAUGUCAAUUUCAAUGUAUGAUGAAUUAACAAUGUCAUUGUCAUAAAAGUAAAGCGGACAAUUGUAACAUUUAAAAUAUCAAACAAAUUAUCUAGGGGGAAUGCUGCAAAUUUGAUUACAUGCAGAUAAAACAAUACAUUUUCAACUGCAAAUAUUUUCUGAAAGCUUUAACAUUACAGGCAGUGCAAAGUAAACUAAAAUCUUUAUACAGCACUGAAAAAUUAGUUGCUGUUAAAAAUUAAAGAGUACUAGUAAAUAUUUUUGACAAAAGUUGGAAUGCUCAGGAGCCUGUAAUUCAGUGGUUGUUUUUUUUAUGUGUUACAUAUUUGGUUUUCGUUCAUUUUUUUACAUAAAUAAGGCCGUUAGUUUUCUCGUUUGAAUUGUUUUGCAUUGUCUUAUCGGGCCAUUAUAGCUGACUAUGAGUUGGGCUUUGCUCAUUGUGAAGGCCGUACGGUGACCUAUAGUUGUUAAUGUCUGUGUCAUUUUGGUCUUUUGUGGAUAGUUGUCUCAUUGGCAAUCAUACCACAUCUUCUUUUUUAUAUUUUGCCAUUCUUUUCAGUGAAUGAUAACAUAUUUUUUACAUUGUAUAUGUGUACAUAAAUGUGUAGAAAUAGAAUUGUCAUAUGAUAUAUUGUCUCUUACAGAAGAAAGAACUAGUACAUAAUUUAUCUCUGCAAAUUAAUAACCAAACAAACAAAACAACUUUUAUUUUCUUUGAAAUUCAACUGAAUAUUUAUCUUUCAAUUAUCUUAUUAUUUAUCUAUUUUUGUUUCUUGUUGGUUUUUUUUUAAAUUUAUUUCUCUUUUUAUUAUUUUGAAUUCAAAAUAAUCUACAGACAUACUUAAAUUAUAUAUCUUAUGUAUUUUUAUAGUUUACAACUUAAACAACUCACAUUAUACAUUUGUAAUAACCUGUGCAUUUGUUAUAUUAGAUAAUUAUGUUUGAUAAUCUUAAUGGUAAACUUCAUUUUUGAUAUUAUUUACAUAGUAUAUAUUUUUUUCAAGUAUGGAAAAUUAAAUGUAUACUACUUACAACAACUAACAGCUGUAUAAAUCUGCUAACGAGGCCGGGGGAGGUACCGGUACCGGUACUUGAUGAUUUUCAACUAACAAAUGUAUAGAUUUCACAAAAUAUGAUAAAUUAAAAAACAAAUCAUUGAAAGCUUUGAAAGAAAUUCUAGAAAGCUAAGUUUAUACUUCCAAUAGUUGCGAAAUUUAAUUAAUUAUUAAAUCCAUAUUCAUGUGAACUCCAAUUUAACUCGUAGAAAGUAAUAGAAUAACGCAUGCUUUGUCUGUGUACGGGUAUUUAAAGGAAAAGAAUGUCAACAUUGAAAGUGAAACAAAGGUAAAGUAUUUGAUUAACUGAUUCAAUCCACACAAAAUCAUUCUUUUAAAGGUAAAAACGACGACAAACAUAGAUUUUUAAUCUAUAAUACAAAAUUUAGCAGACCUAUAAGAAUCCAAUUGCACGAGUUGCUUAAUCUAUGUAUAUCUGUGUUAAUUUUUAUAUCGCUUAUAUGGUCAUUGAAGGUCAACUCGAUAGUUAAUUAGAUGGCGUCUUGGCUAAAUUUCACACGAAACGAAGCAACAUCUUAUUUAGACCAUGGCCUGUUAAUUGUUUAUCUGAUAUUUUUGGAAGUUUGGAAAAAUGUUUUACAUGAGAAAUUCUGGAAUUUAAGUAACAGCGUGUCGAUCAGAUAUAUUGUAGCAUAUUUACCUGACGAUAUCUGGAUAUAGGUGUUUAGUCGGAUCUUAACAUGUACUUGUGAUUUGUUCACAAACCGGUAUUGAUACAAAAUAAACAAAGAAAUGUCGAAAUGUUCAGGACUUAACUAAAUCUGUAUUUGGGUAAGAUGAUGCAAGCAUACGAUUUUUAUUGCGUCUUACACUUUGAGAAGCAAAUAAUCUUUAACUACUUUUAAAUUAUUAAAAUAUUGUGUAAAAACGUUAAUAAUUGUUUCGAUCAGAUAUAUUGUAGCAUAUUUACCUGACGAUAUCGGGAUAUAGGUAUUUAGUCGGAUCUUAACAUGUACUUGUGAUUUGUUCACAAACCGGUAUUGAUAAAAAUAAAAAACAAAUGUCGAAAUGUCAGACUUAAUUUAAUCUGUAUUUGGGUAAGAUGAUGCAAGCAUACGAUUUUUAUUGCGUCUUACACUUUGAGAAGCAAAUAAUCUUUAACUACUUUUAAAUUAUUAAAAUAUUGUGUAAAAACGUUAAUUAUGAGGUAUGAAACUCAAGUGGCUCGAGCAUUUUUUCCGAGGAAGUUUUGAAAGAUUUCACAGAAAUAUUUUUUACAGUGGUUUAGCUUUCAUUAGUCUUCACUAUUCUAUAGAUUAACACUUUUGGUUAUAUUUAUAAUUUAGAAUCUUCAUUGAAGGUGGAGCACGAAUGAACAGAUAAUUAAUUAUAUUAAUGUGCCAUUUGUAUGCAAGAGUGAAAUUCCUUUGUAUUAUGUGCCGAUUCGAAAAAAAAGUUAUGCGAGUAUUGUCUCCCUUUAACAGGUUCAUUAUUUUAUCAUUAAGUAUAGGUUUCUGAUAUAAUUUUAAAUAAAUAUAAAAUGUAUCAAUUCAAUAUAUUUCAGUUUUUGUUAUUGGUGUAUUAAAAACAUUGAUGUACGAAUAUAAUUUCAUAAAUUUGAAACGUUUAAAAAUGAUUUCAUACCAAUAUAAAGAACCGUUCAUCAUUUUUGAAAAAGACUAUCAAUGAAAGUCGAAUUAUUUAUUUCCCCUUUAAUGAUAUAUUGAUUGGGAACUUAACCAGAGUAAUCUUAUAUUAAUCACAGAGAGGGAAUAGCAAACCAUUUUUAAUUGUAGCUUAUUUAACGUUAAAACAAUUUUCCACUAUAAACGAAUGUUACUUUAUACAAAUAAAAGGACUUUGUUAGCUAAAUCUACAAAUUUUAUUAGAUAUUAUGAUUUUUUAUUACAAUAGAUUAAUAUGCUAUAUAUUGUUUAAAAUGUUUAGGUAUGAUAGGACAGAGUUAAGGAAUAAAAUCACUAUUUCAUAGCCCAUUGAUUUUUAUGUUACUCUUGAUUCAUUAUUUUUCAUGUGAGACAAUUUUCGUGGAUUGAGGAAACUUUGUAUGUUCAUCUAUAUCUGAUUCCGUGGUUUUAUUAAGGUCUGCAUACAAACAUAUAAGAAAUCUGUACUUCAUUGGAAACUUAAAUUCGUAAACAUAAAAUCCAAAAAAAAUGGUAUACCACGAAUAAUUAAAACUAUUCAAUAAUUACUACAACUUCAACCAUGCAUAGUUAUGUUUUGUUUAAAAUUUAAAUAGAACAAUAGUUAUUGUCAAAACCUUAUUCUGACUUGUACUAAAAGUAUCAAUAUACCUUCAAUUUCAUAUAAUAGCGCCCUUGAUCCUUUAAGUUCGGAAGAACAAGAAUUAUAAUAUGAGCAAGAGAAAUAUUUUCUUAUCCGAAUACCAGAAAUUUUGUAGUGUACAAAUGAAACCUUGACAACGGUUCUACGUCCUCAAGUCUAAUAAGAUACUUAGAUAAACCUUAUACAUGUUAUAUGUUAAGUAUCGUUACAGCUUUGCACAGCUCUGAACAGCUUUCAUAAAAAUUAUUGCACCACCCUAUGUUUUUUGAAAGUUGAGGACGCGAAAAUCGAAAAUCUCCGGACAAUUAUACUUUUUUUAUCUUUACUUCUACAUUGUUUUUUACCAAAGUUGUAUCCAUUUCCUAUGAUUGAUUAGUCAAAGCAUUGCAUUAGUUGUUACAAAUCACAUACAUAUUAACGGUUGAUUAUUAUGGUAUAAUGGUCAAGUUGUUUCACACAGGUUGUUCUUCAGUAUCAGACGGACAGGAAAUUAAGAAAAGUCCAUCAAUUGUAUUAUGCCAAAA
rnacentral:lncRNA from 1 species